GGGGGAUUAGCUCAGUUGGCUAGAGCACCUGGUUUGCAACCAGGAGGUCAUCGGUUCGAGCCCGAUAUCCUCCA
rnacentral:tRNA from 1 species